rnacentral:rRNA from 1 species
AUACGAAGGGCCCGAGCGUUGCGCGGAAUCAUUGGGCUUAAAGCGUACGUAGGCGGGCGCGCAGGCGUCUUGUGAAAUCCCUCGGCUCAACCGAGGAACUGCGCCCCAAACCACUAGGCUAGAGGGAGACAGAGGUAAGCGGAACUGAUGGUGGAGCGGUGAAAUGCGUUGAUAUCAUCAGGAACACCAGUGGCGAAAGCGGCUUACUGGGUCUCUUCUGACGCUGAGGCACGAAAGCUAGGGUAGCGAACGGGAUUAGAAACCCCGGUAGUCC